rnacentral:rRNA from 1 species
UACGUGGGGGGCAAGCGUUGUUCGGAAUUACUGGGCGUAAAGGGCUCGUAGGCGGCCAACUAAGUCGGACGUGAAAUCCCUCAGCUUAACUGGGGAACUGCGUCUGAUACUGGAUGGCUUGGAUUCGGGAGAGGGAUGCGGAAUUCCAGGUGUAGCGGUGAAAUGCGUAGAUAUCUGGAGGAACACCGGUGGCGAAGGCGGCAUCCUGGACCGAUAUUGACGCUGAGGAGCGAAAGCCAGGGGAGCAAACGGG